rnacentral:rRNA from 1 species
AUUGAACGCUGGCGGCAGGCUUAACACAUGCAAGUCGAGCGGGGAAGGGUAGCUUGCUACCUAACCUAGCGGCGGACGGGUGAGUAAUGCUUAGGAAUCUGCCAUUUAGUGGGGGACAACAUUCCGAAAGGAAUGCUAAUACCGCAUACGUCCUACGGGAGAAAGCAGGGGAUCUUCGGACCUUGCGCUAAAUGAUGAGCCUAAGUCGGAUUAGCUAGUUGGUGGGGUAAAGGCCUACCAAGGCGACGAUCUGUAGCGGGUCUGAGAGGAUGAUCCGCCACACUGGGACUGAGACACGGCCCAGACUCCUACGGGAGGCAGCAGUGGGGAAUAUUGGACAAUGGGCGGAAGCCUGAUCCAGCCAUGCCGCGUGUGUGAAGAAGGCCUUUUGGUUGUAAAGCACUUUAAGCGAGGAGGAGGCUACUUAGAUUAAUACUCUAGGAUAGUGGACGUUACUCGCAGAAUAAGCACCGGCUAACUCUGUGCCAGCCGCCGCCGUAAGAC